rnacentral:rRNA from 1 species
AGGACGAACGCUGGCGGCGCGCUUAACACAUGCAAGUCGAACGGGAUCAGGGCUUCGGCCCUGGUUCAGUGGCGAACGGGUGCGUGACACGUGAGCAACCUGCCCAUGCAUGGGGGAUAACCCGGGGAAACCCGGGCUAAUACCGCAUACGUUCUCCGGGUGGAGUCACCUGGAGAGGAAGCUCCUGCAAGGGAGCGUGCGUGGAGGGGCUCGCGGCGUAUCGAGGUAGAGUGGGUGGGGUAACGGCUCACCAGGACCAACGACGCGUAGCCGAUCUGAGAGGAUGACUCGGCCACAGUUGGGACUGGACGAGUACCGGCCAGACCUCCGUACGGGAGCAGCAGGUGGGAAUUCUGCGACAAGUGGGACGAAG